CACGGUACUACGUAUUCGUACCUCGUACUGCGCAUACUGUAAAAUAUUAUACAUACGGUGGUGAUGUCAUAUCUGGCGGACCUUCAUCAGUAUUUCUUCUCGUCAUGCUUGCUUCGCCACUACUGUAAGCUGUAACCAAGAAUAGGAAAUAACCCGCGGGCAAAACAAAACUUGACGACUUUGGAAACAGGGUUGCUAAGCUGCAUUCCGGCAACGUGCCAAGAUCCCCUGCCAGCGUUCUCAGUCUCUGUUGGCGAUUCAAGAAUCGUGGACACAGCCCUGUGGAGAGGAGAAGCUGGUUCGUCUUCCUGGGGGACUUCAUCGUUUUGCGUCAGGACGUUUCCUUCGCUGUGAUGCUUGCGCAAAUUGUCGUCUGCAGACGACGAAUGCGAGCUGGAACUAGAGUUGAACGGUGGCCGUCGCGCAGUGAUUGGAAUGAGCGGAAGGCUCACCCAACUCGUUUGCGACAGGAAUCGCUUGGGCCGAGGAGGCUUCCCAGUGGCAGACUUUGGAGCACACGAUUCUUCUCCUUCUGCAAGAGCUGACAGCAGCAGACAUUCAACCAUAAAUGUAUUAGAGAGCUAACAGACACGCGUAUCCCUACAGCUGAUACUGAGCACGCUUUUUUUUUUGCUUUUUUUUUUCUCGUAAAUUUUCACGAACUCGCCGUCAGUUGAUCAGGGACAUGCUGGACAUUGUGUGUUGAUAAUGGCGGACAGCCACUUAGUAAAAGAAUGCUCACCUG